UCAAACAGCACCAGGCACUACUAUGUCUGGGCCCACUCCUGAAACAAAGUCACAGACAAAUCGCACCGUUAACUAUGGUAUACACAUCGAUGGACAUGGCUGUAUAUAUAAAGUUCUCAAGUCCGCAAACGCACUG
rnacentral:lncRNA from 1 species